rnacentral:lncRNA from 1 species
AGUCGGUACCUAGAGGAAAAUACACAACCAACUUCUUCUUCCCUGUUUUUGUCAACUUCUUGAUGAUGUUUGCCUUAUAUCGACCUCAAACCUUCUUCUCUUCAACCUAAUGAACAUAUAAAAAAAAAGCUCUCCCUAGCUCCCUGUGUUCUAAUCAUGAAUUCUAUCGUGCCAACACCAUGUUUAAUGGACAAAACAAAAUCUGCUCAUUUGGUUACGCAUCAGUGGGUGGUGAUAUAUCACGAUAUUAUCAUUAGGACUCCGUGAUUAUCAAUUUAAAUUUAAUUUUUAAAAAAAUUAAAAAUACAUAAAGAGUAGCGAGNN